GGAGUAAAAGUCGUAACAAGGUCUCCGUUGGUGAACCAGCGGAGGGAUCAUUACCGAGUUUACAACUCCCAAACCCAAUGUGAACGUUACCAAACUGUUGCCUCGGCGGGGUCACGCCCCGGGUGCGUCGCAGCCCCGGAACCAGGCGCCCGCCGGAGGAACCAACCAAACUCUUUCUGUAGUCCCCUCGCGGACGUAUUUCUUUACAGCUCUGAGCAAAAAUUCAAAAUGAAUCAAAACUUUCAACAACGGAUCUCUUGGUUCUGGCAUCGAUGAAGAACGCAGCGAAAUGCGAUAAGUAAUGUGAAUUGCAGAAUUCAGUGAAUCAUCGAAUCUUUGAACGCACAUUGCGCCCGCCAGUAUUCUGGCGGGCAUGCCUGUCCGAGCGUCAUUUCAACCCUCGAACCCCUCCGGGGGAUCGGCGUUGGGGAUCGGGACCCCUCACACGGGUGCCGGCCCCUAAAUACAGUGGCGGUCUCGCCGCAGCCUCUCCUGCGCAGUAGUUUGCACAACUCGCACCGGGAGCGCGGCGCGUCCACGUCCGUAAAACACCCAACUUUCUGAAAUGUUGACCUCGGAUCAGGUAGGAAUACCCGCUGAACUUAAGCAUAUCAAUAAGCGGAGGA
rnacentral:rRNA from 1 species